CUGUUCUUCCCCUGCUUGUAAUUUGUUUUCAUGUCUUGUCUCCCCUGCUGAAUCGCAAACUCCUCGAGGGCAGUCAUCUUGUCUCCAUAUCUUACCCUCCCAAGUGCUCUCUCUAGCUCCGCACACGGUAAGCGCUCAUCAGUCGACCGGUCGAACUUCUGGAAUUGGAGCAACGAUGGCAAGACUGGAUGUAUUCGUGAAGCACAAGGCAGAACGGACCACGGCGUUUUUGAAAGGGACAACCCUAGCUUCCUUUGGUUUUUACUCUACUGAAUGUGUAAGCUGCCCCCUGACCACUUACCACUCCUUUCCUCUUACUACACAGGUGAGCCCUGAGGUAAGUAUCAUGGCUGUCCACCUUCUAACCCCGGGUCCUCUCUGCUGUGUGAAGCAGCCAGAAUUGAUGUACUUAUUUCUUUUUUUUCAUUCUGUCCUCUGUCACAUCCUCAACUGUGCUGAUCCGUCUCUUCCUGAGGAGGCUUUUUGUCGUCCAUUAAUUUUUCCUCUCACCUCAAGUUUUUAAUCAUUAUUAUCCUCUAAGCUCCUUCCGCUCUCCCAGGCUCCCUGUAAAUCCUUAUCCUUUAGACUGCAAGCUUGUCGUGGGCAGGGAACAGAUCUACCAACUCUGUUGUAUUAUUCUCUUCCAAAUGUUUAGUACGGUGCUCUGCACGCAGUGAGCGUUCAAUAAAUACAACUGAUGGAUCAACACCCAAAAAUUGCUUAAUUUUGGCCCUUGUGUUGUUGUGCUCCGGAAGAGCAAAAUGGGAAGAAUGAGAUUUCUGGCCUCUGUGAGAAACACUCUAGUCCUUUCUGGGAUUCACAUCUUUUAGGUCAAUCCCAAGAACACCAAAUCCAUAAACGAUACCAGAAGAGGCGACAGGUUAAAGCGGUAAGACAACCCUCUUUAACUCUUCGAAUGGGCUCUGACUUAACCAUGGUAGUUAUCAUUAUUGAAUGGCUGAAGGGAGAGAGAAAGAAGUUAAUUGACUUGCAUAUGAACAUAAAGCCAGAAAACUAGGUUAGAAUCAAUAAUGGCAUUUAUUGAGUGCUUACUGAGAGUUCAGUAGUCUACUGAGCAUUUUGGAGAGCACAGUACAAUGGAGUUGGUAAAUAUCUUACCUGCCCACAAGGAGCUUACAGUUGAGAAGGAGGCAGACAUUAAAAUAAAUAACAGA
rnacentral:lncRNA from 1 species